AGGAGAGUAGCUCAAUUGGUAGAGCAACGGCCUCCAAAGCCGUAGGUUGCAGGUUCAAGUCCUGUCUCUCCUGCGA
rnacentral:tRNA from 1 species